GAUGAAGAACGCAGUGAAAUGCGAUAAGUAAUGUGAAUUGCAGAAUUCAGCGAAUCAUCGAAUCUUUGAACGCACAUUGCGCCCGCCAGCAUUCUGGCGGGCAUGCCUGUUCGAGCGUCAUUUCAACCCUCGAGCCCCCCCGGGGGCCUCGGUGUUGGGGGACGGCACACCAGCCGCCCCCGAAAUGCAGUGGCGACCCCGCCGCAGCCUCCCCUGCGUAGUAGCACACACCUCGCACCGGAGCGCGGAGGCGGUCACGCCGUAAAACGCCCAACUUUCUUAGAGUUGACCUCGGAUCAGGUAGGAAUACCCGCUGAACUUAAGCAUAUCAAUAAGCGGAGGA
rnacentral:misc_RNA from 1 species